AAUCAAGAUGUUAAUUACGCCAUAUUUAAGUGAAAUACAAAGCGCGGGAUCGUAGCUAACCUUAGAUUUACUUUCUAACGAGCAUUUGAGUGAUAUUAUGGCUUCUGAUAACAAAACAUUUACGAAUUUACCAUGGGUUGAAAAAUAUCGACCUAAAAAGUUGGAAGAACUCAUCUCUCAUGAAGAAAUAUUAAAAACAAUUAAUAAAUUCAUUGAUGAGAAUCAACUUCCUCAUCUUCUACUUUAUGGACCACCAGGCACAGGAAAAACCAGUACUAUAUUAGCUUGUGCAAGGAAACUUUACAAACCUGCGCAAUUUAAUUCUAUGGUAUUAGAAAUGAAUGCAUCUGAUGAUAGAGGAAUAGGUAUAGUCAGAGGACAAAUAUUAAAUUUUGCGAGUACAGGUACUAUGUACAGAUCUGGAUUUAAAUUGAUUAUUCUCGAUGAAGCAGACGCUAUGACAAACGAUGCUCAAAAUGCUCUUAGAAGAAUUAUUGAGAAGUAUACAGAGAAUGUACGCUUUUGCAUUAUAUGUAAUUAUCUUGGUAAAAUUAUACCGGCUCUUCAGUCAAGAUGUACUAAAUUUAGAUUUGGUCCUUUGCAAUCGGAACAAAUUUUACCAAGACUAAAUGAUGUUAUAGAGCAGGAAAAUUUAAAGGUAACAGAUGAUGGGAAACAAGCAUUAAUGACAUUGUGCGGUGGAGAUAUGAGGAAAGUACUAAAUAUACUUCAGAGUACUUGGCUAGCUUUUGGAUCAGUUACAGAGGAAACAGUAUAUUCUUGCGUUGGACAUCCUUUACCAGUUGAUAUAAAAAAUAUUGCAAACUGGUUGUUAAAUGAAUCUUAUGAAUUAUCCUAUUGUAAAAUACAAGAUCUAAAAAUUAAGAAAGGACUCGCAUUGCAAGACAUACUGACUGAAUUGCAUCAAUUUGUACAUAAAAAUAUUUUUAAGUUGAAUUCCCAGAUCACAUCCUCAUAGAUUUAGUGAUAAAAAUGGCUGAAAUCGAAAAAAGGGUAGCAGUCGGAUGUAGCGAGGCAGUACAAUUAAAUGCUCUCGUGGCGACUUUUCACAAAGCACGAGAGAUAGAUUUUUGAAAAAUAUUUACCGUCAGUAACCAACAAUGUGUCAGGUCGCUUCUAUUUAUACAACACGAUAGUAUCUUAUAAUCUUUAAUUACAUUCUGUCGUGAAUCUUAUCUACGAGAUGGAUCUCCCCGAAUUGGAUGUCAAAAUCUACAACGUAAAAUCGGUAGAGUCAUCGUGUCAUUCUUUCCAUAAAUUUCCCUUAGCUUGUAAAUUCAUCUGUGCCUAUCGCUUCUCGUAUACCGGUAAUCGCACGAAAAGUGUAGACCUCAUUCUCCGGAUGAUAGUUCUUUUCAAUAGUAAGUUUGUUGUGUAUGUAAAACAAUAUAUGUACAUAUAAACCGCAUAUAAACUGUCUUGAGAAUACUUUACCGUCUUGACAAGUAUUGUCCGAUCUGCACGCGAUUUGCUGAUCGUUAUUUGAAGAUAAUUGUUUAUUAAAAAAAAUCAUGUUGAGCACGAACUAUCUCGUAACUGAAAAAACUUGUCAUUGACGAGAAAGAAAGUCGAGAAUUUAUCAUGUAGCUCUUGUGUAAACUCUUCGCAAACUAUGAAAAAAACGUCGAUCCCUUUGAAAA